rnacentral:rRNA from 1 species
UACGUAGGGUGCAAGCGUUGUCCGGAAUUAUUGGGCGUAAAGAGCUCGUAGGCGGUCUGUCGCGUCGAAUGUGAAAACCCGGGGCUCAACCCCGGGCCUGCAGUCGAUACGGGCAGACUAGAGUGUGGUAGGGGAGACUGGAAUUCCUGGUGUAGCGGUGAAAUGCGCAGAUAUCAGGAGGAACACCGGUGGCGAAGGCGGAUCUCUGGGCCAUUACUGACGCUGAGGAGCGAAAGCGUGGGGAGCGAACAGG